rnacentral:rRNA from 1 species
AACGAACGCUGGUGGCAUGCCUAACACAUGCAAGUCGAACGAGACCUUCGGGUCUAGUGGCGCACGGGUGCGUAACGCGUGGGAACCUGCCCUUAGGUUCGGAAUAACUCCCCGAAAGGGGUGCUAAUACCGGAUAAUGUCUUCGGACCAAAGAUUUAUCGCCUUUGGAUCGGCCCGCGUUGGAUUAGCUAGUUGGUAGGGUAAAAGCCUACCAAGGCGACGAUCCAUGGCUGGUCUGAGAGGAUGAUCAGCCACACUGGGACUGAGACACGGCCCAGACUGCUACGGGGGGCAGCAGUAGGGAAUAUUGGACAAGGGACGAAAGCCUGAUCCAGCAAUGCGGCGUGAGUGAGGAAGGCCUUAGGGUUGUAAAUCUCUUUGAGCCGGGAUGAUAAUGACAGUACCGGGAGAAGAAGCUCCGGCUAACUCCGUG